GCCUUUUCCAGGGCCACUCCCACUGCGUAUGGAGGUUCCCAGGCUAAGGGUCCAGUCGGAGCUGUAGCUGCCAGCCUACACCACAGCCACAGCAACGAGGGAUCCGAGCAGCAUCUGCGACCUAUACCACAGUUCAUGGUAACGUCAGAUCCUUAACCCAAAGAAUGAGGCCAGGGAUCAAACCUGCAACCUCAUGGUUCCUAGUUGGAUUUGUUAACCACUGCGCCACGAUGGGAACUCCAUGCUGCUUUAUUUUCUUCAUAUAUAUUAACUAUAAACAUUUCAAAAGUAUAACUUAAAAUACAGCAAAAAGCGUUCUCCAAAAAGCAUUUAGAUCUGACGAAGCCCACAGAUGAAUCCAGGUCCCCCUGCCCCAGCCUCGUACCUCUACUCUCCAGCAUUCUUACUUUGCUUAAUUAAUUAAAUGUGAAAUGUAAUCUGCCUUCUAGAUGAUACAAAGAAAGCUUUCAACCCAAGGGUUUUAAAAUUAAAAUCUUUUCAGGGAGUUUAGUUUUGCAAAAUGAAAGACAGCUUAUGUUGCCGGCUCCCACUGGGACACUUUUCUGGAUAUUGAAGGAGAAUCUGGUUCAUAAAGUGUGGGGAGAAUGUUCGUCUGGUUUAUUAAAGACAAAUCUUAGGGGACAGAGGUGAGUAUGUUUGUGCUCCCUUUAAAAAUGUAGGCAUUCCUUAGGAAAAACCUACCUGCCUUUCCUAUGGAUUUUUGAACACUUACUUGCUUUUUCAUUUAAUUGAAAAAUAAUGUACGUUUUUUCUCUUUUCCAUGCGCAUGUUAAGUUUUUCAUUUGAGGGCACUGUUAUUUGAUCUAUACUGUAAAGAUAUGUCUGUUGCAAGUCAUAUGCACACAAGGUAAGUAAAAUGCUUUAUUCUGUUUAUAUUUCAAGAAACACAGACCAUAUCGCCAUAGGUUUUGGAGUGAGGUGAUGGUCACUGGUGAAAAGUGCAGGCAUCUAGAGACAGUAACACCACUUAUGGUGAGCUGUCACUGUCAUGCAAAAAUCAGAAUUAGUGAAAUCAACUGCUCCCUGGCAAAGCACCGUGAAGAUGGUUUUCUCCUGUCGAGGGGAUGCCGGAAAGAACCCGCAUAAAGUUCACUCACUGAUAAGAACGCUUCUCCCUGCUGCCUGAAGAGUAGUCGUACUGGUUUUGCAACUCAGGCGGAUGAUUACUGCAGCCUCAGCAGCCAGAGGAUCAACAUUUGUCUCUCGGGGUCAACAGGACCAACAGAAAUGUUCACUCCAAGUUCCUUUCCUUUGACGGCUCCCGAGACGGGAGGGCGCGGACCUGUGUGUACACGCAGGUGAAGGGCAGCGUUGCGUCCGGAGCCAGCCCCACUCCUGCGACAGUCUGGGGACAUCCGCAGCCAUCCAUUUCAGAGCUGGGGAAUAACUGAGAGACCCUCUAGCCACUUCCUCAUUUUACAGAUGAGGAAAGUGAGACCCAGGAGCGACUUCCUGGAGGUGGGUCAGGCAGGUAACUCGAGACGAAGUCUCCUCUUGCCUCCGCACUUUGCUCAAAGCCAAAUUAACUGUAACCAGGGAACAUAGAAGAUGACACCACCAAGUCACCAAGGCAGAGGCCGCAAGUAAACCAAGCUGUCCAAGCCAUUACUUCCAAGGCUGACGGGGAGUGUUGUUACUUCUGGUGGGGAGACUGUUAACACGUGAACCUAUUUUAAUGGCACUCUAUGUCUCCUCGUGCAGUAUGAGUGGAAUUAAGUGUUACCACCUAUGAACCAUUCUUGCCCCCCCCCCCAUCAAACCUGAGUCUGAUAAAGGCUCUAGAUGGAACUGCCAGUUGCCGGGAAAUCCAGAGGGUAGAGGAAUAAGUUAAACCAUCGCAGGGAUGCCACUGGCCAAAUCCAGAGGGGAGAAUUCUAGUAGAUGGUCCAGUUUCUUCAACAGUGACAAAAGAAUGAAGAUAGGAAAGAAAGAAGUCAGAAAAGAGAGUGUUUUUAUCCACUAAACGAGACUAAGAGAUACUAAUCAAGUAUGCUAUUAAGGUUCUAUUUUUUUUUUUUCUUUAUGGCUGCACCUGUGGCAUAUAGAAGUUCCCAGUUUAGGGAGCUGGAGCUGCAGCUGCGGGCCUACACCACAGCCAUGGCAACGCCAGAUCUGAGGUGCAUCUGUAACCUACACUGCAGCUUUCAGCAAUGCUGGAUCCUUAACCCACUGAGCGAGGCCAGAGAUUGAACCCACAUCUUCUUGGAGACUAUGUCAGGUUCUUAACCUACUGAGCCACAGCAGGAACUCUCUAAGGUUCUACUCUUAAUAAUUUUAGGUGUGUGUUUUUUAGAGCUGCAAAUAGGAGUAUUUAUGAAUUAAAUGAUAACGUCUGGGAUUUGCUUUAAAAAGUCCAUGUGGGGACAGGGAAGUGGAUGCAUAAAUGAAAGAUGUGACCCACGUUGAUAGCUAUUGAAGCUGAUGGGUAUCCAUUGUAGUAGUCUUUCUACUUGUGUGUAUGUUUGAAAAAUCUCCAAAAUAAAAAGACUAGAAAUAAAAUAAAACCAAGAUAAAGAGAACAUGUAUAAUAGACUCUACCUGUAUCUUAUGUUGCCAAAAGAUUUUAUAUGAUUUAAAGGAUGUUUCAAUCUAUGAUAUAUCUAUUUAAAAGUUCUCUUCCUGCAUCUUUGCUGAAUAGCAUCCCAACACUGCUGGACAGGCCCAUCCCUGUCACGUCUCUAUUCUGUGCUUCUUCUUAGAACAAUCCAUUAGCGUGUCUAGCAUACAUAAAUUCCUCGGCCAGGGAUCAAACCUGCACCACAAUAGUAACAACACCGGAUCCUUAACCCACUGAGCUACCAGGGAACUCCUUUUAAAAUUUUCUUCCCUCCUUCCUUCCUUCCCUCCUUCCUUCCUUCCUUCUCUUCUUUCUUUCUGCUAGAUUUUUUUAUAUUCCUGUCCAUGGUUCAUAGCACAGUAUUGGAUUGGUACCAAAUAAAUAAAUGAAUUUUCUGGAAAAAAAAGUUUUUCUCUUUUGCCACUUUAAUCAGUAUUUUUAUUUUUUUAUUUAAUCAAGCUUUUAUUUUUUUAUGUUGAAAUGCAAAUAUUUGUUGUUGCUAGUGUUAUUAUUCUGCUGUUACUGAAAAUGGGAAACGAUGUUAAAAAGCCUGAAAAAGGAGUUCUCUUGUGGCACAGCGGGUUAAGGAUAUGGUGUCGCAGCACUGGCAUGAGUUCGGUCCCUGGCCCAGGAACUUUCACAUGCUGUGAGUGUGGCCAAAAAAAAAAAAAAUCAAAAAAGAGUAAUAAAAUCCCAUCGAUAGCUCCCACCUUCUGCCCCCAUCCUUUGAUUUUCUAAGCUCUCUUUAUGAAUUAUUACCUUAAAAGCAUCAUUCUUGUGCAUCUGCCUUGGAGAUUUUCCAGAUUCUCAACCUCACUUAAGCUGAGAUGAUUUUAAAUUUCAAGAUAUGGGUACAAAUUUUUCCAGUAACUUUUGAAUAUUACUUUUCAUCUUUUAUAAACAAAAGUUUCAUUCACUAUAGAGAACAAGAAUUUAUCGACCAUUUAUUUAUCAUACUGUUCAAAUAAAAGUCACAUAAGACUUUCCCACACAGCUUUCUGAAACUCCGUUUCUUCCUUUCCGUGAUAGAAUUCAAAGCCUACUAACUUACCUCGAGAAAUUGAAAGGGUUGUGGCCGGUCCUCUUCAGAGAUGGUCACCAGCCCUCUUCCCACCCUCUACACGCGGCUGCUCUUUCCAUCAAGAGGUGGAGUCAUCUCCCCUGACACUGAAACUCCAUCAGCCUUAUGGCUUAUAUUCAUCAAUUAAAUGUGAUGAAAAUGACCCGACGCCAGUUCUAGGCCACAGCCUUCAAAGGCCUGGCAGCUUUUGCUUUCACCUCCCUGGAGCCUUGCACUGCAGUGUGCAGUAAGCUUGACUUGAGUCGAGCUCUCCUGAUGAGAGAGAAGCCCCGUGGAGGACCACGGGUGCCCAGCGAUGGGCAGCACCGAGGUCAUGAGUGUGGCCAUCUUGGAUUCUUUAGCCUUUCCUGAGUCUAGCUCACACUAGGUGGAUCAGAGAUGAGAGAUUUCCACUGAGCUGCAACUGAAGACCCACAGAAUGACUUUUUUUUUAAUGUUUUGGCCAUGACCGCAGUAUGUGGUAGUUCCAGGGCCAGGGAUCAGACCUGUACCACAGCAGCAAUCUAAGCUCCAGCAGCAAUAAUGCCAGAUCCUUAACCCACUGCACCACCUGGAAACUCCCAGAAAGGCUGUUUUAAGUGACUCAUUUCAGGUGUAAUUUGUGACAUAGCUGUAGAAAACUGAUACAAGGAGGGAAGGUGAAGUCCUUUUUCUGUGCUCAGUAUUGUCUGUGUUUGAACUUGAAAUGCUAGUUUCUCUGCCUGUUAAAAUUCUGCCCAUCCGCAGAAGCUGCCCAGAGGUUCAAGUACAGGCUGUUUCCAGGUUGUUUCCUCCCCCAGGGCUAGGUUUAAAAUGGGCCUGGAACACAUUUGUUCCAGAAAUUCUUUCAUAUGCCAGAAAGUAAGGAAGUGCUCAAAAAAAAACAAUAGGGGCACAGCCCAAGGGAACAGGUGCCAGCUUGAAGGCUCCUGAUGGCCCAAUCUGGGACAGUUUCUCUCCAAAUAAUGAAAAGCAAUAAUAAACAAUGUAAAAAUAGGAAAUUGGAGUUUCCCUUGUGUCUCAGCACAUCACACAACCUGACUAGUGUCCAUGAGGAUGUGGGUUCGAUUCCUGGCCUCACUCAGUGGGUUAAGGAUCUGGAGUUGCCAUGAGCUGUGGUGCAGCUCACAGCUGUAGCUUGGAUGCUGCAUUGCUGUGGCUGUGGUGUAGGCCAGCAGCUGCAGGUCCGAUCUGACCCCUAGCCUGGGAGCCUUCAUAUGCCAAGGGUGUGGCCCUAGAAAGACAAAAGACAAAUAAAUAAAUAAAUAGUGCAAAUUAUGAAGCAAAUGGGGUGAAUGUUAAAACAGUAAGUGGCUCUGGAUGAGGGUGUACAAGGGUUUCUUGAGCUGUUUUUAAUUUUUGUAAUUGUUUUAAGGCUAAGAUUUUUUCCAGAUAACAAGGCUAAAAUUAUUUCCAGGUAACACGUUAGAAAAGUCCUGCUAAGAUAUUGUGCAUGAAUCUACUUUUUAGUCCUCAAAGCUACCUCCCUUCUUUGAAUGCCUGUGGCACUUUACUGUUGUUUUUUUAAAUUAUGUACAGCCUGGUAUUGUUAGGGAGUUCGUUUCAGGUUGUUCUGGGCAUCGAAGGCUGUACCUCCCCUUCUCAAUCGCAUGUCAGGGCCUAGGUAUGUUCUCUGCAGCCCCCUCGUGUCCCCUGUAGAGCGCAGGCCCAGAGGAGGCUCU
rnacentral:lncRNA from 1 species